CAUUGAUUUCAGUUUGCUAUACCCAAACAUGCAAAACUUGCUUUUUCUCAAUGGGAUAACUUUAAAUCAAAGAUUUUCGGUUAUUAUAUGGAAAACAUAACAAAUGAGUACUGCAAGAAGCUGCUAACUCAAAUUUGCGAGACUUCCCACGUUGACACGAAGGAUUAUCUUUACACAAUUCUUCUCAAUGCUGUCCUUCCAACGACUUGUCGUUUUUCGGAUCAUAUGGG